GUGUGUGUGUGUGUGUGUGUGUGAGAGAGAGAGAGAGAGAGAGAGAGAGAGAGAGAACGAGAGAAAGGGCGGGAGAACAUCAGCAGGGAUGCAGUUCUGCACGAUAUAUAUAAAUAUGAAGAUUUUUGCACAGUUGAGAUGACAGGCGUCAAUCUCAACUGUCACGGUCACUAGGUGACAUCAAGUAAAGCGGAUUGUUGCCAGGUGCGCACUUUUUCUGCCAAAUCAUGAUGUCGAGGAAACAGACCUGUAGUUGUUGCUAAAACCUCGCACUGCAUGUAGUUUCUCCGUUUUAUUACAUGUUGGGAGUUUUUUUUACUAUUUUUUGGGCUUGAUGGCACGCGCCAAUAAAAGCUGCAGGUUGGCCACGCCCUUUACUUCCUUAUUGUGGUCGGCGCGGAAACAGACCCGCACCUGCUGCCGAUGGCGUCUCUGUGCUUCGUCUCGGCCGUCGUGGUGUGGUUAUUCACGGUUGUCAGCGGUAACGCGUUUCACCCUGGCCGAGAGGACCGGAGGCUGCUGGAGGCCGCCAGCGCCAGCGGCGCCAACGCCACCGAGCUGCACUACGGCUUCAUCUCCUGCGCCGUGACCGUCAUCUUCUACAGCAGCAACAUGGUCCCCGGCAAGAGGACGUGCGCGGCGGACAGGAACUCCACAGGCAUGCAGACAGUGAGUCCCAGUAGUCUCAGCCUGGGGGUCCUGCUCUGGGCUUCAUUCAACCUGCUGGUGGGGUGGGCCAGUAGCAGGUGUAUGUGUGUCUACCUGCCUACCUGCCCACUGAGAUACUGUCUUGCACACUGCCUGGCUGUUCGUUUGUGAAGGUAUCCCUGCUGUCACGCACACACACACACACACACACACACACACACAGAACCUGAAGUUACGGUGACCUCUGUUUUUACCUGAGAAUAUAAAAUAAUUCUGCACUUAGAGAUGCAAACUUCAAAGAACAGAACAGGAUUAGAACUUGUUAAAUGGAAUGAAUGAACUUAACAGCUGUUUCAGUUGUUGCAGGGUGAAAAUGCAAUUUAUAGACAACCAGCAAAUAACAAUAUUGUUGAAAUAUUAUUGGUGCUAUAUUUAAAACUUGUGUGAUUUACUAUGACUGGUGAAUUUGAGGUUUUAGAAAUGAAACUUGUAGUUCCUCAGAUUUUACAAAGCUGCAUAUCUUGCUGGGCCUGCUGUGAUAUGGGAACAUGUUUUUCAAAAUGAAUGUCUGAAGCAGUAUGUCCUAGCAGAAAAUAUGAUUAGUACUGUGAUCUUGGCAUCUCGCAUAGGGUAGACUGUUAAAAAUUAAGUUUCUGCUACAUUUUCUUUUUUUAAUUCCUGUUUUAUGGGCCUUUUAAAUGGUCUGUGAUGUUAACGCCAUAGAGAGAUGUACUAUUGCUACAGAGUAAAAGGAAAGGAAGGGUUAAUGACACUGGCAGCAGAGACUGUAUAGUCCAUGCAUUUCUAAAUGUUUUUGGUAGAUUUCAU
rnacentral:lncRNA from 1 species